UACGUAUGGAGCAAGCGUUGUCCGGAUUUACUGGGCGUAAAGGGCACGCAGGCGGUGAGAUAAGUCAGGUGUGAAAGUUUUCGGCUCAACCGGAAAAGUGCACUUGAAACUGUCUUACUUGAGUAUCGGAGAGGUAAGCGGAAUUCCUAGUGUAGCGGUGAAAUGCGUAGAGAUUAGGAAGAACACCGGUGGCGAAGGCGGCUUACUGGACGAUUACUGACGCUCAUGUGCGAAAGCGUGGGGAGCAAACAGG
rnacentral:rRNA from 1 species